GCGGCCGUGGUCUAGCCUGGUCUAGGACACAGUUGUAGUGGAAGCCUUCCAAGCCUGUUACCCGGGUUCAAAUCCCGGCGGCCGCACCA
rnacentral:tRNA from 1 species